rnacentral:lncRNA from 12 species
GGGGUUGCACCCAUCCCUGAAUGGAUUUCCCGUGUGGGGAUGGGAUGGAUGGGGCUCUACAACCAGCCUACAACCACCUCACAGCUGUCCUACAAUUAUCCUAAACUUAUCCUGGGCUGGAGCUUUGCUGGAAAAUGUGAGAGGCCAACGCCACGUGCUGGUCCUGCUCAGCAUUCCCACCUGGAGAACCCUUGGAGGGUUCUGUGCCAUGAUGGGGACAGGGCCAUGAUGGGGGACAGUGCCAGCACCCUCUGAGCAUGUCCCCAAAUCCCACAGGAGGUCGGGGGGGGUUUGUCUCGGGAGCCCGGGGGAUUUCUGGGGUAUUUUUUUAGCUGUUUUGGGGGUGGUUUGGAAUACUUUUGGGGUGGGCAGAGCAGACUGCGAGCAGCACAGGGAGGAGGAGGGUUCGGGCAGCAAGUCCCGGUUUGUCCCGGGGGUUUGUCCCGGCGGGAUCGCACAUGUCCCGGUCUGUCCCGCAGGUCCGGGGGUUUGUCCCGGGGGUCUGUCCCGGUGGGAUCGCACAUGUCCCGGUCUGUCCCGGUCUGUCCCGGUCUAUCCUGGCGGGAUCGCACAUGUCCCGGUCUGUCCCGGUUUGUCCCUCUGGGGUCGCACAUGUCCCGGUCUGUCCCGGUUUAUCCCGGCGGGAUCGCACAUGUCCCGGUCUAUCUCGGUCUGUCCCGGUCUGUCCCGCUGGGAUCGCACAUGUCCCGGUAUGUCCCGGUCUAUCCUGGCGGGAUCGCACAUGUCCCGGUGUGUCCCGGUGUGUCCCGGUCCGUCCCGGUCUGUCCCGGUGUGUCCCGGUCUGUCCCGCUGGGAUCGCACAUGUCCCGGUCUGUCCCGGUCUGUCCCGGUCUGUCCCGGUCUGUCCCGGUGUGUCCCGGUCCGUCCCGGUUUGUCCCGGUCUGUCCCGGUCUGUCCCGGUGUGUCCCGGUGUGUCCCGGUGUGUCCCGGUUUGUCCCUCUGGGGUCGCACAUGUCCCGGUCCGUCCCGGUCUGUCCCGGUGUGUCCCGGUCUGUCCCGGUUUGUCCCUCUGGGGUCGCACAUGUCCCGGUUUGUCCCGGUGUGUCCCGGUCCGUCCCGGUGUGUCCCGGUCUGUCCCGAUCUGUCCCGGUCUGUCCCGGUGUGUCCCGGUCUGUCCCGCUGGGAUCGCACAUGUCCCGGUCUGUCCCGGUCUGUCCCGGUCCGUCCCGGUGUGUCCCGGCGCGAUCGCCCAUCCCCGGCUGGGCUGCCCCCGGUACAAUCCCGGCGGAGGUGGCGGAGCGGAUCCAUCCCCGAGGAGGAUGAACUUGGCUCAGUCGCCAUGGAAACGCUGGCCCGGCCCCGGCACCGCUCGCCUGUGCACGGGGCCCGUUGACCUCAC